AUGAAUCAUUUCCCAACAAUUUAAACCAAAUAAAAUUAGCACAACCUUAAACACCCCAACCUCCUCAGCUCUCUGUUUCUACGCACCAACAACGCGGCUCCGCCGCCUCUGCAACCUUCUUCCACCACACCAGCAUACACCUUACCACAAACCAAUGUCAACCAAUACCCACAAAUAACAAGUAUAUGUUGUAGCAUUCGUCACCGAAACAGAAAUCCGAAUUCACAUACUCCCUCUUUCUCUCUCCUCUACGGUGCGAGCCACCAAACCACCACGGCCUGCUGCCCCUAUACACCCGACACUAUGUAUCUCCAGCCACCUGAGCUCAGCCCGGCGCCACCUUGUACCACCGCCAUCUGGCCCACCUCUCUCGAAGCCUCACUUCCCUCCUUGUUGUGCUCCAUGUGACCGUGUCCUCUGUUAUGUUAGACCAAAGUUUUGUCUUUUAAAACUUGGUCUUCUUAAGUGGAGUAAUAUUGCACUAUUGCAGUACGCAUAUUUCCAAAAGUCAACCUUUGCCUCUUUUAACACCAAACUAUUAUUGAUAUAAAUAAUUUUCGGAGCUCGGAAGAAUGGUCCAUCGAACGGGACGUAUAAACUACGGUUGAGGUACGAAGAAGAUCAUGGGAUGCCUUAGAGUGAGGAUGCAACCAUCACAUUCACGAUCGAUGUUUAGUAAAGAUAACUGUGUCUCACUAGAAAUAAUGGAUGUAUUAAUUAAACUCUAAGUUUGAUUUCAUAAUUUGAGUUAGAUUUUAAUAUUGAUGUUUAAUCAAUGCCAGAACUAUUUAUUAUUAAAGUUUAUUUAGUAAUUUAAAAAGAUUAUGUCGCCUUGUAUUUCCCACGAGGGAGAUACGGCAUGUGACGCUUCGACUAAAUUAGGGAUUCCGCUGCUAAUUAAAGAUAAUUAACCUAAUUAAUGGUGUUUAGAAAUCGGGGCGUUACACUAGACUUCAAAUCUCUCUAUUGGUUUUUCACUCUUUCUUUUGUUGGUACACUUUUUAGUUCUUUCUU